CACUCCAUGAAAAAUUGGCCUAAUUAAAUAACACGUCUUUCAAAGUCUGCUUCCAUCAUCUCAUCUGCCUUGUAUAAAUAGCAGACAAACACUACUGGGUUUCUUCACAGCAUACACACUCUCUAGCUAUCCAUCGCCACACAUAACAAUGCAGGUUCUUUCUUACAUAUUGUUAGCAAUUAUGCUGUUUUUCGGAGCUUUUGGACCCGGUGCAAGAACUUGCUAUGCCGUCCGAUAUGUCAAUAAAAUGGAGCAUUCAAGAACGGGAUUACGUGCGUUUCAGAAGAGGACAAUUCCCGCACGUGGGGGAUAUCCAGCUCCUGAUCCCAACACAAUGAGCCGUGGAAAGGGAGGUUAAGAUGGAUCUAAAUCGUCUUUCCUCCAUUUUCUUAGAGGGGUUCUUGUGAUUACUAGUUCUCAACUAGGCUUGAUCUCCUAAUGUUUCGUUUCUGUAUUAAUUCUCAGCUGUUUAAUUUCCUCGCUAUCCUUUCUUGAAUAAUUUAUCAUAAGCAAAUGCCUCUUUCCUUUUAUUACACGUUUCAAUUUCUUGUUCUUUUUAAGGUAGUAAUAGCGAUAAUCAAACAAACAAAACAAGAUCUAUUUAUGUUUUACCAGAGUGAGUGCCAACGAAGCAGCUAUACAUUCACUGAUUAAAAUCUAGAACUUACACAUGUGAUUCGUCUGUACAGAGGGUUAUUAUCAAACAGAUUAUGUUACAAAAUUCAAAUGUUAAUCCUUAGAGAAAAUAGCCAUGCUAAAACAAAGAAAUCUCAUCAAGAGAAGAAGAUACGCAAUAAUCUCUAUCCAUUUUAGGUUGAUGUUUGUAAAAGGUUAAUUUAGUAGCUUCAAUUUUGUUUUGGCUACCACAAGACAAAAGUACGUAGAAACGCUGUCCAGAGUUUUUAAACCCGGUCAGGUGGCAGGCCUUGUCCAAAGCUCGGGUUCCGGGUUUUGACCAGGUCACUGGGUCGCCAGGGUCAAUUUUAAUUUUUAAAAAAAUCAAAAAGACGUUGUUUUAGUAUAAAAAAGCAAAAGUCAACGGGUUUUGCCAGGUCAACCCCCCGGGCUUGACUUUCCAUAUUUUUUCUUAAUCCUUGCUCGAUUCCAGCUCCGGGUAAGUCGGGUCCAGGGUCGCCCUGUCAGGCCGUGCCGGGUUUCAAAACUAUAUGCUGCCUAGACUUGAAUAUUGAGAAUUUAGAGAGUGUAAUAUGAAUUGUUUUUUAUUUGAAAAUAUAUUAAAAAAAAUUAAAAAAAAAAUUAUGUCCACACAAACAUAUUCAGCUCAAAGUCCACACGCAGGUUGGCUUUCUACCGCCGUUCAGCUUACUCUUUUUGCUUGCCGUGUAAACCUUAAUAUUCCAUUUACGAAAAUUGUGAUAAAAUCAAUUCAAAAAAGUCUUAAUAUUCAAUUCAAAAAAGUGCUUUCAAACCCAUAAUUUAGAAUUAAGACUCAAAGGGACUGCUUCUGAUUUGGUAAAGUUAACCUUAAAAAAGACCUCCAAAAUUGAGUUAAUUAAGGUUAACUUUACCAAUAUAAUAUCUGAAAUUUGGGACUGAUCAAGCCCUAGAUCAGUUUCUUAAAUAUGGUUUCAUGUUUGUGAGACGAUAAUAUGUGAUUUACAAGAAAUGUAUGGUUUACGGUGUAGUUAGGUAACUGUGGACAGUACUAUUUUAUUAUUUUAUAUGAGUAUUUUAAAUUAAAGUUAUACUAAAUCAUGUAUUUUAAUAGAAUUAAAUGUUUAAUCAGUUAUAUUUGCUUAAUUUUCAGGUAAUUAUAUUCAUUUCUACAAACAUAUCAACAAAGAAAUUGGCAAAGGCAAACCAGUACAAAGAGCAAUUUGACGACUUCCUAGUCAACUCCACUAGUUUGUACUUGCCGUUGAAGUGAUGACUUCAGAAAGCUAUUUCAGCAUUAAUUCCAGCAAACGCUUUUGGAAUCCAUUGAAAAUUGGCCAAACUAAAUAACACGUCUUUGAAAGACCAAAAGAAGUCAGUUUCUAUAUAUAUAAAUUUUAGCUUAUGUAAAAGAUUUAAUAUCCUCACAAUAUGGAACUUUGUCCUCUUAAAAAAAGAGUUAAUUAAAUUUUCAAAAAACUUAGUCGUGUAAUUAGUUACAAUAAGCCAAUCCUUUUAUAAUUUUUUAUUUGAAUAUUAAAUCAUGCUUAAAUUUUAUAAGAAUAUUUUAUCAGCAUGGUUCUGUAAAAGAAUUAGCUUGUUGUAACUAACUAUAAUAUGAAAGAUUUUUGUAUUAAAUUUAGAAGAUUUUGUUCAAGUUAGUUUUGUUAUUUUCCUUCUUUUUUAAUUUUUUUACGAUUUUUAUAGUUUUUAUUUUUAUUUUCAGGUUCUCUAGUUUUUUUUAAAAAAAUAUUUGAUAAUAAAAUUCUAAAAUAAAUAGAAUUAUGUAUGUAUUAUUUGUAUGUGGAAACUUCUCACCAAGAAAUUAAAAGGAAUGCCGUUGGUCGAGGACUCGUUACACCUUCAAAGUCUUCUUCCAUCAUCUCGUCUGCCUUGUAUAAAUAGCAGACAAACACAACUGGGUUUCUUCACAGCAUACACACUCUCUAGCUAUCCAUCGCCACACAUAACAAUGCAGGUUCUUUCUUACAUAUUGUUAGCAAUUAUGCUGUUUUUCGGAGCUUUUGGACCCGGUGCAAGAACUUGCUAUGCCGUCCGAUAUGUCAAUAAAAUGGAGCAUUCAAGAACGGGAUUACGUGCGUUUCAGAAGAGGACAAUUCCCGCACCUUGGGUAUCUCCUCCUACUCUAAACGUAAGGCACGGUCAUUUAGUACCACCAUCAGGUCCAUCACGACGACGUCCACCACCCCCUGGAACCAUAUAUUAAGAUGGAUCUAAAUCGUCUUUCCUCCAUUUUCUUAGAGGGGUUCUUGUGAUUUCUAGUUCUCAACUAGGUUUGAUCUCCUAAUGUUUCGUUUCUGUAUUAAUUCUCAGCUGUUUAAUAUCCUUGCUAUCAUGUAUUGAAUAAUUUAUCAUAAGCAAAUGCCUCUUCCUUUUAUUACACG
rnacentral:lncRNA from 1 species